CUCUUUUCUCUCAAGAAAAAAAAAAGUAUGUUUUUUCUUUUUUGUCCUUCAUAGCAGACCAAGUAUUGCCUCUCUGCCAUAGACAGCUACUGUCAAUACAUGCUGUAAUUUGACAUUCUGGGUCACAGAUAUAAGGUAUUUAAAAUCUAUUUAUGCUUUAUAGAGAAACCAGACAUUAAAACUUCAUGCACUACUUAUUUCGAAUUACUGUACCUUAUCCAAAUUUACACCUAGC
rnacentral:lncRNA from 1 species